UCUCCAACUGAGAGUCCCACCGAAUCAAACGUUUCCGAUAGAGGUAUGGUUUGAAAUCGCCGUCUAAAAGGUGAAGGAAUCCUGUCUUCUCGUUUCCGGGACACCGUUUCUCAUAAAGCGCCGGAUAUCUUUUAUGGCCGCGCGUCUUCUUUCACAAGUCGCCGACGCAGCGCGAUUCAAUUCGUUGUGCUCGGGAGGUGGAGAAGGGAAGGCGGAGGACCGAAAGUUAGGAUCGAUGGCGAAUAUCGAAUCGACGGGAUCUUGAAGGAGUUGCCGAAGACGAAGAUAGUGUGCGCACUGGGGCCGGCAUCCAGAUCGGUUGCGAUGCUGGAGAAGCUGCUGAGAUCUGGCACGAACGUCGCCAGGUUCAACUUCAUGAGUACCACCAGGAGAGCAUCGACAACCUUAGGAUCGCCGUGCAGAACUCUGGAAUCCUGUGUGCCGUCAUGCUCGACAACUUCAUGGGUCUUUUUCUUCAUUUUACUUGGUUAGCAACAUAAAAUUUCAAUUACCUUAAAGAAAGUGUUUGAUUUGUUUCAUGUUUCUACAGAAAUAGCCUUGGUAGUAAAUUGCUCUAUGCAUAAAUUAUCCAAGCCAAUUUCAUUUUAACAGAUACUUUCCACGUUCUA